GACGAACGCUGGCGGCGUGCCUAAUACAUGCAAGUCGAACGCAGUGGGGACGGGUGAGUAACACGUGGGUAACCUCCCAUCAGAGGGGAUAACACUUGGAAACAGGUGCUAAACCGAUACUGAUGGAUGGACCCGCGGUGCAUUAGCUAGUUGGUGAGGUAACGGCUCACCAAGGCCACGAUGCAUAGCGGCGAGGAGGGGUGGGGGUGCAACAAGGGGAAUGAGAAAAGGACCAGACUCCGACGGGAGGAAGGAGGCGGGAAUUGUGGGGAAUGGACGAAAGUCUGAACGAGGAUGGGGGCGUGAGGGAAGAGGGUGUUAGGAUGGUAAAGCGCUGGUGUUGGAGAAGCGGUACAUAACGAAAAAGCCCCGGCUAACUACGUGCCAGCCGCCGCGGUAAUAC
rnacentral:rRNA from 1 species